rnacentral:rRNA from 1 species
CGCUCGUCUCAAAGAUUAAGCCAUGCAUGUGUAAGUAUAAAUAAUUUUACUUUGAAACUGCGAAUGGCUCAUUAUAUCAGUUAUAGUUUAUUAGAAAUAUUUUACUACUUGGAUAACCGUAGUAAUUCUAGGGCUAAUACAUGAGUAAAACCUCAACUUCGGAAGAGGUGUGUUUAUUAGUAUGAAAACCAUAUAUCUUCGGAUAUAAUAGUGAGUAAUAAUAACCUUUCAUAUCGUAUGUCGUAAGAUAACGAUAGUUCUUUCAAGUUUCUGCCCUAUCAGCUUUCGAUGGUAGUAUAUGGGACUACCAUGGCAGUAACGGGUAACGAAGAAUUUGGGUUCGAUUUCGGAGAGGGAGCCUGAGAGAUGGCUACCACAUCCAAGGAAGGCAGCAGGCGCGUAAAUUACCCAAUCCUGACAUAGGGAGGUAGUGACAAUAAAUCACAAUGCGGAACUUUUA